rnacentral:rRNA from 1 species
AGGACGAACGCUGGCGGCGUGCUUAACACAUGCAAGUCGAGCGGAAAGGCCCUUCGGGGUACUCGAGCGGCGAACGGGUGAGUAACACGUGAGUAACCUGCCCCAGACUUUGGGAUAACCCUCGGAAACGGGGGCUAAUACCGAAUAUGACUUUGACCCGCAUGGGUUUUUGUGGAAAGUUUUUCGGUUUGGGAUGGACUCGCGGCCUAUCAGCUUGUUGGUGAGGUAAUGGCUCACCGAAGGCGAGGACGGUAGCC